UGGAGAGUUUGAUCCUGGCUCAGGAUGAACGCUGGCGGCGUGCUUAACACAUGCAAGUCGAACGGUGAACACGGAGCUUGCUCUGUGGGAUCAGUGGCGAACGGGUGAGUAACACGUGAGCAACCUGCCCCUGACUCUGGGAUAAGCGCUGGAAACGGCGUCUAAUACUGGAUAUGUGACGUGACCGCAUGGUCUGCGUCUGGAAAGAAUUUCGGUUGGGGAUGGGCUCGCGGCCUAUCAGCUUGUUGGUGAGGUAAUGGCUCACCAAGGCGUCGACGGGUAGCCGGCCUGAGAGGGUGACCGGCCACACUGGGACUGAGACACGGCCCAGACUCCUACGGGAGGCAGCAGUGGGGAAUAUUGCACAAUGGGCGCAAGCCUGAUGCAGCAACGCCGCGUGAGGGACGACGGCCUUCGGGUUGUAAACCUCUUUUAGCAGGGAAGAAGCGAAAGUGACGGUACCUGCAGAAAAAGCGCCGGCUAACUACGUGCCAGCAGCCGCGG
rnacentral:rRNA from 12 species